UGAAUGCUGGCGGCGUGCCUAAUACAUGCAAGUCGAGCGGCAGCGAGGGUCUCAUCCUAUUCUGGAAGUUUCGAGAAUAGAAUGAGAUCUGUCGGCGAGCGGCGGACGGCUGAGUAACGCAUGGGAACGCACCCCAAACUGAGGGAUAACUAGUCGAAAGAUUAGCUAAUACCGCAUGUGAUCUUCGGAUUAAAGCUUUCGGGCGGUUUGGGGGCGGCCUGUGUACGAUUAGAUAGUUGGUGAGGUAAUAGCUCACCAAGUCGACGAUCGUUAGAUGGUUUGAGAGGAUGAUCAUCCAGACUGGGACUGAGACACGGCCCAGACUCCUACGGGAGGCAGCAGUAGGGAAUCUUUCACAAUGGGCGAAAGCCUGAUGGAGCAACGCCGCGUGCAGGAUGAAGGCCUUCGGGUUGUAAACUGCUUUUAUAAGCGAGGAAUAUGACGGUAACUUAUGAAUAAGGAUCGGCUAACUACGUGCCAGCAGCAGC
rnacentral:rRNA from 1 species